UCAAGCUAAAAGUUAAAAUAGCAUAAUGGAAGCAAAAAGUAAAAGUAGCUUAUAUACAAAAUGUGAAAAUAAUGUGAGUAACUGAAUAAUUACAAUGUACGAGGAAAACACUGCAUAACUACAGUUAUUUUCUGAAUUAGCUGAACAUUUUAAUUUGUAGAUUGUUAAAAUCAUACAAAGUGUGCAGAGGAAGUUGGUUGCAAAACAACAAAACAAAACAGGAAAACAAUAGUGUGAAUGCUGAAUCAGCUAUCAAUAAAAAGAAUGACAAAAAACAGGAAGCUUUUAUAUACAGUAAGCCUAUUCUGCAGUUUACCUCAACACUGUAGGCACAUUUUGCAUUCACAUUUCUUAUUGUCCAUAAAAAUCAUAUCAUGUGUCAGACACUGAAUAUUUAUUCAUGUAUCAUACAUUUAACAUUCAUCACAGCAGAGCAUGAUCAUAAUUCAUGGUUGCCAGAUUGAAUCCCAACCAGGGACCUAUCCGAGUUUUCAUAUUCUCUCUGUGCAUGCAUGGGUUUUCUCCAGGCAAUCCAGUUUCCUACCAAAACAUGAUUGUUAGGCUGACUGGUAGCUCUACGUUGUUCUUAGGUGAGAGUGAAUGGUUGUUUGUCUUGUUUGUCUCUAUGUGGCCCUAUGAUGGACUGGUCCAAGGUUUACACCACCCCUCGCGCAGGGACUGGGCACCGAUGACCCUGAAAAGAAGAAGCAGCCAGCACGGCCUCAGUGAACCUGAUGCCUGAGAGUAAGGAAGUGCAGAGCUUCAUUUUCCAUCAUUGGUUCCCCAGAGGCUUCGAGAGGAUCUGAUCCACAGAACAGCUGUAGGGAAGGAGAACAAAUGAAGCCUUACAAACUCACACAAACACAUUCAUACAAAAAUCAAUACAGACUGACAAGAAUGAGACAAUCAAUGUCAUUUACAUGCAAUCAAUGUGUAGAAGUGUGGGAAAAUGUGUCUGAAUGGCUCUAAAUAUCUGCUGCAUCUGUCCUCACAGUUUAACUCAAUUCAGUGUGAUGGUGUGAGUGAUAGUGGAGGUAUGCUGGGGGAAAAGAAACACACAGCUCCAUAAAUCUGUUAGUUGCUUUGGAUUAAAAAUAUAUCUUUAUCCUAAAAAUUGAAACACCAAAAGUAAAUUAAAAAAGGAAAGAAAAAUGUCUUGAGGUCUAUUAAACGUUUGUGAAAAGCAUGAAUCUAUGAAAUAAAAUAUAUAAAUCAGU